AAGAAAAGAAACUCUGCUGAAGAAUGGUGGAAUAUCCUAAACUGGGGACUGCUUGCUUGAUGUUUAAGCAGAAAAUGAAUAAUACAAUGAUAAGAAGAUGCAGCAUAAAUUACUAAUGGCAAAUUAACAGCACAUCCCCAGGACAACAGCAGUGGCAAGAACAUGGACGACACCUGUUAUGCUCCACGUUUAAGAGCACUUCGAUGGAAUUAUUUAUCAGCAUAAGUAAUUUCCAUUAACUUUAACUGAAUAAAAAUGCAGAGAAUACAUUAA